GGAAGUAAAAGUCGUAACAAGGUUUCCGUAGGUGAACCUGCGGAAGGAUCAUUCACAAUGAGUGUUUUAUGGCACUUUUUAAAUCCAUAUCCACCUUGUGUGCAACGUUGGUUCUCUUUUUUCGCGCAAGCAAAAAAGAGGACUAUCUAUCAACUCAACUUUUAACUAGUUUGUCUGAAAAAUAUUAUGAAGUAAAAUUCAAAAUACAACUUUCAACAACGGAUCUCUUGGCUCUCGCAUCGAUGAAGAACGCAGCGAAAUGCGAUACGUAAUGUGAAUUGCAGAAUUCAGUGAAUCAUCGAAUCUUUGAACGCAUAUUGCGCUCUCUGGUAUUCCGGAGAGCAUGCUUGUUUGAGUAUCAGUAAACACCUCAAAUUCCCAAUCUUUUUUGGAAAGGGAAUUGGACUUGAGCGAUCCCAACACUACUCGUAGUGGCGGGUUGCUUGAAAUGCAGGUGCAGCUGGACUUUUCUUCUGAGCUAAAAGCAUAUUUAUUUAGUCCCGUCAAACGGAUUAUUACUUUUGCUGCAGCUAACAUAAAGGUCGAAGAGUCCUCAUGGCUGACUGAUGCAGGAAUUAAACAGAGUAAAAUCUGUUCAACUCGAUCUCAAAUCAAGUAAGACUACCCGCUGAACUUAAGCAUAUCAAUAAGCGGAGGA
rnacentral:rRNA from 1 species